ACCAGCUUGAUGUCCCAAAUGUGAGCUGAACAAGGAAGGACACCACCAUAAUUAGUUCUAAUAGUGUAUGGGUUCUGAUCUGGAUCAUCAGUUUAGACAUGGGACUUUGGGAGCCUCUCUGUCUUGGGACAGCAAUGCUUAAGAUCUUAGGCACCUCUACAGCCCAUUUCUAGUAUGUCCUACUUCACCUUUCACUCACCUGAGUAAGACAGGAGGCCAUUCUGGACCCUUGUAUAGGUUUGCACAGGAUGCUCGCAGCAACUCAGUAACAAUGUAGUAAGCAUUGAAGAUGUUGGGUAUCAGAACUCAUUCGUGGCCUGCCUGUAGCCCAUGGCUUGAACCUCAGGAGAAUGCAGCCCAAGAGGAAGAAGUUGGCGCUUGGAAGAAUUAAAUAGAAGGCAAGGUCAAAGCCCGAGCAGUGCACAUGUUUGGAACUGAAAUGGAAUAUUUCUGCCACUUUGCUCCUCUUCUGAUACACCUCAUAUAAUAUAAAACCCCCAUGGAUUCAUGUAAUAAUUAGUAUAGAUGUCUCUUCAUAUUAUUAGCUGACAGUUAACCUCCAUAUGACUUGAAGCAUCCAGUGUUUAAGACAAAUCUGUAGCACUUAUCUUAGGAGAGGUUAGAAGAAUGAGAGGCAGCUCUGUGUGAGUGCUAAGGGGCAGGGUUUCCUGAGCAGCUCUGUGGGCGGUUUCUCUAAUGCUUGCUGCAGUGGGCUUCAUGGCCAGUGCUGCUUCCAUUUCCUCGGUGACUGCGCAUAUUUAUUGUAAAGUCUCAUUCCUAAAAACAUUUUAGGUGGAUCUCUUAAGGAACAUUAAUAGAGGACUUUUUGAAGUAUGCCUCAAGUACUGACCUUUGCAUCAGGAAGCAAUGCACCUGCCUCGUGCGCUUUCGCUAGAAAACUACCGACUUGAAGUACAGUAUAGUUAUCAAUAAAAUGGAGUCAGGAU
ensembl:sense_intronic 4930405O22Rik RIKEN cDNA 4930405O22 gene